UUAAAACACAUAAAUGAUUGAAUUCCACAUCACACACCAGAAAAGGUAAACAAAGCAUUGAAUUCUUUUUGGAUUUCAACACCUGUAUCUUCAAUCUCAAAUGUAAAAAUCACAUUAUACAAUAUACAAUCACAAUAAUUUUUUUUUGAAAACAUAUACAAUCACAAUAAUAAUGAUUGUACUAACGGUUAUUUUCUCCGGUUUGCAAUUCAUCCGGUUCAUGUUUCUGAGAAGAACUGCUUCUCCAAAAACCGUUUACGCUGAACCGGGCCCAUAAAUCCUCCUCCGGCAAUUCCUCCUGG
rnacentral:lncRNA from 1 species